GAGUUUGAUCAUGGCUCAGAUUGAACGCUGGCGGCAUGCCUUACACAUGCAAGUCGAACGGCAGCACGGGAGCUUGCUCCUGGUGGCGAGUGGCGAACGGGUGAGUAAUGCAUCGGAACGUAUCCUGGAGUGGGGGAUAACGUAGCGAAAGUUACGCUAAUACCGCAUAUUCUGUGAGCAGGAAAGCGGGGGACCUUCGGGCCUCGCGCUCUUGGAGCGGCCGAUGUCGGAUUAGCUAGUUGGUGAGGUAAAGGCUCACCAAGGCGACGAUCCGUAGCAGGUCUGAGAGGAUGAUCUGCCACACUGGAACUGAGACACGGUCCAGACUCCUACGGAGGCAGCAGUGGGGAAUUUUGGACAAUGGGGGCAACCCUGAUCCAGCCAUGCGCGUGAGUGAAGAAGGCCUGG
rnacentral:rRNA from 1 species